rnacentral:rRNA from 1 species
CCCGGGCCUUGUACACACCGCCCGUCACAUCACGAAAGUCGGUUGCACUAGAAGUCGGUGGGCUAACCCUUGUGGAGGGAGCCGUCGAAGGUGGGGUUGGCGAUUGGGGUG